rnacentral:rRNA from 1 species
AUUAAAGUUUGAUCCUGGCUCAAAUUGAACGCUGGCGGCAUGCCUUACGCUUGCCUGUCAAACGGCAGCGGGUCCUUCGGGACGCCGGCGAGUGGCGAACGGGUGAGUAAUGCAUCGGAACUUACCCGGUAUGGGGGGAUAACUUACCUAAAGGUAACCUAAUACCGCAUACGCACUGAGGUGGAAAGCAGGGGACCGCAAGGCCUUGCGCUAUUGGAGCGGCCGAUGUCUGAUUAGCUAGUUGGUGGGGUAAAGGCCUACCAAGGCGACGAUCCGUAACGGGUCUGAGAGGAUGAUCCGCCACACUGGAACUGACACACGGUCCAGACUCCUACGGGAGGCUGCAGUGGGGAAUUUUGGACAAUGGGCGCAAGCCUGAUCCAGCCAUGCCGCGUGAGUGAAGAAUGCCUUCGGGUUGUAAAGCUCUUUCGGCCGGGAAGAAAUCGUGGUGGCUGAUACCUGCCAUGGAUGACGGUACCGGACUAAGAAAGCACCGGCUAACUACGUGCCAGCAGCCGCGGUAAUACGUAGGGUGCGAGCGUUAAUCGGAAUUACUGGGCGUAAAGCGUGCGCUGGCGGUUUGUGUAAGACAGGCGUGAAAUCCCCGGGCUCAACCUGGGAAACUGCGCUUGUGACUGCACGGCUAGAGUACGGCAGAGGGGGGUGGAAUUCCACGUGUAGCAGUGAAAUGCGUAGAGAUGUGGAGGAACACCGAUGGCGAAGGCAGCCCCCUGGGUCGAUACUGACGCUCAUGCACGAAAGCGUGGGGAGCAAACAGGAUUAGAUACCCUGGUAGUCCACGCCCUAAACGAUGUCGACUAGUUGUUGGAGGGGUAAAACCCUUUAGUAACGUAGCUAACGCGUGAAGUCGACCGCCUGGGGAGUACGGCCGCAAGGUUAAAACUCAAAUGAAUUGGCGGGGGCCCGCACAAGCGGCGGAGCAUGUGGUUUAAUUCGAAGCAACGCGAAGAACCUUACCUACUCUUGACAUCCAGCGAACUUGGCAGAGAUGCCUUGGUGCCUUCGGGAACGCUGAGACAGGUGCUGCAUGGCUGUCGUCAGCUCGUGUUGUGAAAUGUUGGGUUAAGUCCCGCAACGAGCGCAACCCUUAUCCUUAUUUGCCAGCACUUCGGGUGGGAACUGUACGGAGACUUCCGGUGACAAACCGGAGGAAGGUGGGGAUGACGUCAAGUCAUCAUGGCCCUUAAGAGUAGGGUUUCACCCGCGGUACAAUGGUCGGUACAGAGGGUCGCGAACCUGCGAGGGUGACCCAAUAUCAGAAAACCGAUCGUAGUCCGGAUUGCAGUCUGCAACUCGACUGCAUGAAGUCGGAAUCGCUAGUAAUCGCGAAUCAGCAUGUAGCGGUGAAUACGUUCCCGGUCCUUGUACACACCGCCCGUCA